rnacentral:rRNA from 1 species
CCUACGGGAUGCAGCAGUGAGGAAUAUUGGUCAAUGGGCGGGAGCCUGAACCAGCCAAGCCGCGUGAGGGAAGAAGGUACAGCGUAUCGUAAACCUCUUUUGUCAGGGAACAAAGGCGGGGACUAGUCCCCGGAUGAGGGUACCUGAAGAAAAAGCAUCGGCUAACUCCGUGCCAGCAGCCGCGGUAAUACGGAGGAUGCGAGCGUUAUCCGGAUUUAUGGGGUUUAAAGGGUGCGCAGGCGGCCUGUUAAGGCAGCGGUAAAAGCCCGGGGCUCAACCCCGGCGAGCCGUUGAAACUGGCGGGCUGGAGUUGGAGAGAAGUACGCGGAAUGCGCGGUGUAGCGGUGAAAUGCUUAGAUAUCGCGCAGAACCCCGAUUGCGAAGGCAGCGUACCGGCUCCACACUGACGCUGAGGCACGAAAGCGUGGGUAUCGAACAGGAUUAGAUACCCUUGUAGUC